GCGGAAGAGGAGCGCGCUCCCCGCCAGCUUUGUGACGUCACGGGGGUCAGACAAUCCCUUCCAUUCGGCGCGAGCCGCCCAUUGGUUCCCCGGGCCCGCCUCACGUGACCCCCCCCCCCCCGCCCCCAGCGAGUGGAAGGUGUGGCUGCGCGGCGCUAGGGAGCGGUGGUCUGUGGAGCUCGGCGGUGUUGGCUGAGCAGGCUGCGGGGUCGGGAGAGGGGAGGCGCCUGGGCCGGCUCCAAUGUCUUCGCGUGCAUGGGGCCCGAGGAACGGGCUGCUCCCCUGUCGUGCAGGCUUCCUAGAAUCUCUGGCACCUCUGCGGGGAUGCGGUGGUGUGGGUGGCCGGCCCAGCGGCCAAGCCUCCCCUGCGCCUCGCGGUUGGGUGCGGGCUUCCCAGGGUAGGCUGCGGGAGCGGCUCCCAGCCUCACGGGAACCUCAACUCCCUGCGGCUCACCCCAGCCUGCGGUACAAGGCGUAGCAAAGAACCUCGAGAGUAGCUGUUGCUUCGUUCGUUUGAUACGUUGCAGAUUUUAGGAGCAUUAACGCCCAUCAUGUUUUCUAUCGCCCCAGGGAGAGGAAGCAGGUGUAGACAGCAGCAAGAGGGAGUUGUGAUGAGGGAAUUAUCUCUGUAGCGUAGAUGUGUGCUCACGUUCUCUGAGGAGUUUUGAAAUCAGUAUUGUUUCCGUUGCCCUGAAUGGUUACAAGGAGAGAACACUGGACUUGGAGUCAGAAAACUUUCAUCCAAGUCAUUCCCUGCUCUAAGUCCCAUUUCUGUUCCAUGAGAUUGUUUCCACCUCAGAUGAGAUUAGACUUAAGGUGGCAUUGGUAUUGUCUGUGGUAAAACAAGAUAUCUUCGAGGGCUCUUCAGUGACUUACAUCCAUACAUCCCUUUUAUGGGAUAGUGGCUUCUGAAAGCUUCCUUGGCAGUGGCAGAUAGAGCAUUGCACUUAUCUUCCCUAGUGUUCACCAAUAAGUUGACUUUGAUUUAUUACACAUAACUUCUUACUAGCCAGUCAGGUUCACAAAAUGAUGUGGAGUGAAUUUCUUUUUAUGUAAUAAAAAACGUUAUAUACCCAAACUGGUCCUUUAUAACUCCUGGAUCUUUCAAGUUGCUGUAUUCUCUGUUCUCUAAAUAAACUAGAGGAGACUGUUUUUGCCCAUCCCCAGGUUACCCAUGGAACUUUUGUGGCUAGUCUGUCUGGCCUUCAUCCCAGUUUUUACAGGUCCAUCUGCCUCCCUUCAUCCUCUCCUUUUUGCUUCUCAAAUGGGCUUCCCAUAAAUUGCAAAUAUUCUCCACUACUCUUCCUGUCAUUUAAUUUAAGUAUCUGGUUUCUUCUUCAUAGAUGCAUAGGAUGGUGUAGCCUAGUGAUUAAGAGUGCAGCUGGAGCCAAGCUGGCUGGGUUCCAUUCCCAGCUCUGCAGCUUUCUGUGUGGUCAUGGGCAACUCUGCAUGCCUCAUUCUCUCACAUAUAAGAUAAAAAUGUAAAAAGUAAUAGCAGGGCUGUAUUAAGAGAGUUGACAUAUAUAGCUUGCUAAGAAAGUACAUAGCAUGUAGUGUUAUAUAAGUGUUAGCUAUUCUUGAUAUUAUCGACAUGUCCAGGUCAGUGUUUUAGAUUAAGAACUCCUAGCAAGUAGGAGACCCAGGCCCCCAAGUGCAUUAUAUUCUAUUGUUAGGUACUAAUAAGUUAUUAAUAGAAUGGAGAAUCUUUGAACCUUAGAAUAUCAGUUUAAAUUCAUUUAUAUAGAGGAUCUCUGCCUCUUAACCCUUACUUUGUGGACAUAGAGACCCACUUAACUGAAGCUGUGAGUGGAAUUUUAAGAGUUUCUGCUUUAUGACCCAGAAAUGAAGUACAUACUAGACUUCUCUGUUGUCUUAUCAACUUUUUCCUGGCCAGGCUUGGUGGGCUCCUGCCUGUAAUCCCAGCACUUUGGGAGGCCGGGGCGGAAGAAUUGCUUGAGCCCAGAGACCAGCCUGAGCAACAUAGACCUCAUCUCUACAAAGAAUCUAAAAAGCAAUUAGCUGGGUGUGGUGGCGCCUGCCUAUAGUCUCUGCUACUCAGGAGGCUUGCCUGAUCCCAGGAAGCUGAGGCUGCUGUAAGCAGUGAUGCAUCACUGCACUCCAGCCUAGGCGAGUAAGCAAGUUCCCGUCUCAAAAAAAACAAAAAGCUUUUUUUUUUAAUGGUUGUGAAAUAGAGUAGUAAGAAUCCAACAUCCAGGCCAGGUGCGGUGGCUCACACCUGUAAUCCCAGCACUUUGGGAGGCCAAGACAGGUGGAUUGCUUGAGGACAGGAGUUUGAGACCAGCCUGGCCAACAUGGUGAAACCCUAUCUCUACUAAAAAUACAAAAAAUUAGCCGGGUGUGGUGGUAGGCAUCUGUAAUCCCAGCUACUUGGGAGGCUGAGGCAGGAGAAUUGCUUGAAUCUGGGAGGUGGAGGUUGCAGUGAGCUGAGAUUGCAGCACUGCACUCCAGCCUGGGCAACAGAGUGAGACUCCAUCUCCAAAAAAAAAACAGAGUCCAACAUCCAUAUCAAAUGACCUCUUCAAAGCUGUUACCUUAGUAGCAACCCUUAUUCCACACUGACAUUGCCAUUAUUCAGAGCACUUUUAAAACUCCCUUUUCAAAUUGUUUUCAGAUCUGCACAGGAAACUCCAACUUGUUUUACUAUAACCAACACUUUGGUUUUAUACCAGAAUAGUAUUGAUUCCCAUCUUAUUCUUCUUAGUUCUGAAUGACCUGGAUAUUUCUAAAAAUAACACCCACUCUCAAAAAAACUGGUAUUUGCCACCACUAAAUAUAGUCAAAAGAAUUUUGACAUAAGUAUUGAAUGCCAAGGUGUUUUUGAAAUCAGAAUAAAGCCUUCCUAAAGUGAUAGCUUUGAAAUAAUCUCAUUUACAGGUAUAAGUUUUGUCCUCUGGUUGUAAAGUUGUAUGGUUCAGUGAGAGGUAUAUUAUAAAUAAACUACCCUUCUGCAGAGGUACCAACUGCUGGUACAACUGGAGGAGAUUCUUUAGUAUCUCAACCUUGAUUCUCCUCUGGCCUGGCUUUGUUCCUGUUUCUAGAUGGAGCUCCAUUUAGCCACCCACUGGGCUUGCUUCAAAAGUGCUGUUUGUUAUCACAUGGCCAACUGGCCAGGGCCAGAACAGGUCCUUGGGUUUACUGCGUUGACCCCAGACUGUUUUAGCCACCAGAGCACUUGUUGAUACUUCAACAUUGGAAAGUGUUGGAAAGCAGCACUGAAACAACCCAGGAACGUUGUCGAGAAGGUAGGGAAGGAGAGAGGAAGGGGCUUCAAAAAUAGUAUGGUACUAAGAAAGCAAUGUGCAAAAUCACCUGUUUACACAAAUGCUUUCUGUGAUAAACAAAAAUGCAAUGACAUUUCCUGAAUAUGAACCUUAACAUUUAGUCAUCCAUUUGCCCUAGGAUGGAUUUGAAAAUGAGCAAUGCUUGAUCAGAUUGGCCUGAUGUUCUUGGGGGCAGGUGAUAAGACCCUUAGGGGUAUUGGAGGUUAGCUUUGACAACAUGGAGAUGAUCCAGCAGUCUCAGUGGUGCCAGCCAAGAAGCUUAAAAUAAACCUGCAUGUGGGUCUGAGAUGCCCUCACCCUGAUGGUUACUGAUUUACUGUGGCCUUUGCCAAAAUCAGCAGUCACAGGGGAAAGAGGCUGGUUUACCAUACUCCUCUAGCACCUGUUUCCCUACAGGUCUUGGCUAGGAAAUCAGCAAGAAAUUGCCAAGUAACUAAAGAAUGGCUACCUGUUUUAUUACCAUGUCAGUGUCGGGAGUUCCUUCUUUGAAAUUAAGUUGUUUGGAGUUAGCAGUGAGAUUGACGAAUCAUCUAUACAAAAGAAACAACACGUACUGUGGUUCAUCUCCUUUGGACCAGAGACUGUUCUAGAUGCUUUCACAUUUGUCUGAUUUUAUAUUUGGAAAGGAAUCCAUUCUCAUCAGAAUUCAUGAGACAAUAGAAUGUUCAAGGGGGGAAAAGCUUUAUUCUCUUACAAAAUGAGAGACCAAAGGCUCUUGGCUGGCAGGCAGUAAGUUUCUGUGUACUAAUUGAACAUGACAGAGAAUACAAAAAGUAGGUGUCUGGGGUUGCGUAAUGAUAGAAUUCAAGUGCUUUACCAAGAGUAUUGCAUACCUGUGGACCUGAGAUUGGCACAUACUUCAAAAAUUCCUGUUAGUUAGGCUAUCUUCAAAUACUAAAGGUGACAUGUAUGGGCAAGAGGGGAGAGAUGAAAGGGGAGGUAGGUGUUGGUGUUAGUAUCUGGCCAUCAGGCAAUUUGGCAAGAUUAAUUUUUUAUUCAGUAUAAUUCUGUAGGUGGAUUCCCCAAAGCACAGAGGGUAUGAGGUGGAGGACAGGCUUCCGGGGAACUGAGACAUUGGGGUGUGUCUAGAGCACUUCCUACAAUAGGUGCCAGUCAUGGCUGCCCCGAAGCAGGUCCUGCCAAUCUACAGACUUCAGUAGGAGUCCCCAAGCUGUGAACUCAAAAAUAGUAGUGGCUGAUUUGCAUACUUUUUAAAAGCUAUAAUUCUUUGCGUAUCUGAACUACUUAGAGUAUAAGUUUUUCAAGAACAGGGAACAUGUCUUUUUACCCACCAAUACAAACCCAUGGCCUGGCAUAUACUGAAAACUAACAGGUAGCAGAUGCUUCCUUUCUACCAUUCUCUAUUCUAAGUGCACUGACUCCUUAUGAGGCAGGCAUUUUUCUUAUAUCCAUUUCACAGGAGAGGAAACUGAAUCUCAAUGAGGGUAAUUUGCCCUAGGAUCACAUAAGUAAGAAGUUGUGGAGCCAUCUACUCCAGAGCUUGACACUAAGGCACUAUGUUAUAGUAUAGUGAUCACUACGUGUAAUAGGAGCUCAAUGAUGAAUAAAUGGACUUGUUUUAAAUGAAGGAAAAGAAAAUGACAUGUUUCAACGGGUGAAUGAAAAUACUUCAUGAAUGAAUAAAUGAAUAUGUCACCUUUUAUUAUGUUCCUUAGGUUUCAAAAGGGCUUAUGUCAGGAUUAGGAUUUAAUUAAUUCUAGCUUUGUGAAAACUAAAGAAAGUUUUACGUUUUCAUUAUGGGUUUGAGGGAAAACUGCAUCCUUAUAACUGGAGAAUUUACACCCAUGCUUAUUGUGUCUAUAACCAGCAGUAAAGUUUGCACAGCUAAGUGUAUCACCACUGAAUAGCCACUCUUGUUAGAGAGCUGCAGGGUUUGAAUAUAGUUUAUCAGGAGAACCAAUCAUACCUUAUAAAAGCAUAUUUUCCUUAGAAAACAGAUACUGUAUUUGUAGGUGAAUACCUACUGUAUUCAACUCACAUUCUAAUAUAACUAUAGUUGAUAAUAUGAUUUGAAGUGAACAGUUUGAUUUGUUAAAAGCAGUAAGUUAAUAUUCAGUUCAAAAUGUUACUUUUAUGUUUAAGCAGUAUCAACUGGAGAGAGAAAAGUUUAAGGAGAGAAAAAAAAAACAAUGAAUUAAAGAGGAACAAUAGAUAUUGAAUUAUACAUCUAGUUUCUGCCAGAAACGAUGGGCUCUGGGAUUCUAAUCAGAACAUUCAGAGAAAUACUCAGGUGCAAUAUCUGCAUUUUGAUUUUAUCCCUCUUUAAGGCAUACUGGUUUUGUGGAAUGAGUAUGAGUUGGAGUCAGAGACACUUGAGUUCAAACCCUACCUCUGCUUCUUAUUUUCUGGGUUGAUCCUUCAAAAUUUACCCAAUAACUUCAACUUUUUAAAAAAUCUAACAUGUGUUGUAAGGAUUAGGAAUUAGCCAAAUGAUAACUGGCAAAUAACGCCAAAUGUUAGUACUUAAAAAUGAAUUUCCUAUUGCUGCUGUAACAAAUGACCACAAAUUCAGUUGCUUAAAAUAACACACAUAUUAUCUUUCAGUUCUGAAGGUCAGAAGUCUGAAAUGGGUCUCACUGGGCUCAAAUCAAGGCAUCAGCAGGGCUGUGCUUCCUUCUGGGGGCUCUAAGGGAGAAUCCAUUUUCUUUCCUUUCUCAGCUUUGAGAAGCUGCCCACAUUCUUUGGCUCAUAACUCCUUUCUCCAUCUUCAAUGUUGGCAGAGUAGCACCUUCCAGCCACUCUCUGACUUUGACUUCCUCCUCUGUCUUCAUUUUAAAAAGAUCCUGAUGAUUACAUUGGGUACACGAUGAUAAUUGAGAAUCAUCUCUUUAUUUUAAAAUCAGCUAACUAGCAACCUUAAUUCCAUGUGCAACCUUAAUUCUCCUUUGCCAUGUAACAUAGCAUAUUCACAGGUUCUGGGAUUAUGAUGUGGACAUCUUUUUUUGGGAGAGAGGGAGCAUUAUUCUGUAUACUGUGGCAUUUUUCUCCCUUAACACUCAUGUAUUUAUUAAUAUAUUUAUUAAAGGAAAAUGAAUAAUAAAUAUUUUUAUCCUCAAGAAACUUAAUAUUUAGGUGGAGAGCUUAAAUAUAUGCAAAAGACAUUAACCAACAGUACAAGGCAGCAAGCAACAAGCUCCAAUAUGAGCCAUUCAAAUUUGUGUCACAGGCUGGACCUGGUGGCUCAUGCCUGUAAUCCCGGCACUUUGAGAGGCCAAGGUGGGAGGAUUGCUUGAGCCUAGGAGUUCAAGACCAGCCUACGCAACAUACUGAGACUUUGUCUCUACAACAAAAUUUAAAAAAUUAGCCAGGCAAGGUGGCACACAUCUGUAGUCUCCGUUACUUGGGAGGCAGAGGUGGAAGGAUCACUUGAGCUCAGGGGCUCGAGGCUACAGUGAGCUGUGAUUGUGCCAGUGCACUCCAAAACAAAAAGAAAAAAAAAACCAACAACAAAUUUUUGCUACAGGAUUUUAGAGAUCACUUAGUUGUGUGAGAGAGGGAAAAAAGAGUCACUAGAAAUUUUGAUUGUCUAAAAGCAGCAACGUAAUGAGAAUGCCCCCUUCCCUCUUCAAAACCUAAAUGUGAUUUUAGGUUGAGUUAGGAACAAAGGAGGUGAUAGACUCCCUCCAUUCUGCCUUGUUGAGUCCCCACCAAACUUUGAAGGGCAUAAAAAAUCUACAGUGUAGCAAGAGGAGGGCUACCAGCAGGAUAAAAAGUUUAGAAUCAGAACAUAUGAGAAGUUUAGAGAUAUUCAUGGCAUGCUCUUCAAAUACUUUAAUGAUAGUCAUAUGAAAAGAUAGCUAGCUUUGUCUUUGAAAACACCAGAGUUUGAAAAAACUAGGCCAGGUGCGGUGGCUCAACACCUGUAAUCCCGGCACUUUGGAAGGCUGAGGCAAAUGGAUCACUUGAGGUCAUGAGUUCGAGACCAACCUGGCCAACAUGGCAAAACCCCAUCUCUACCAAAAAUACAAAAAUUAGCCAGGUGUGGUGGUGUGUACCUGUAAUCCCAGCUACUUAGGAGGCUGAGGCAUGAGAAUCGCUUGAACCUGAGAGGCAGUGGUUGUAGUGAGCUGAGAUCGGCCACUGCACUGUAGCCUGGGCAAAAGAGUAAGACUCUUUCUCAAAAAACAACAACAACAAAACGGCAAGGCGUGGUGGUUCACGCCUAUAAUCCCAGCACUUUGGGAGGCCAAGGCAGGUGGAUCACCUGAGGUCGGGAGUUUGAGACCAGCCUGACCAACAUGGAGAAACCCCGUCUCUAAUAAAAAUACAAAAUUAGCCAGGCAUGAUGGCCCAUGCCUGUAAUCCCAGCUACUAGAGAGGUUGAGGCAGGAGAAUUGCUUGAACCUGAGAACCAGAGAUUGCGGUGAGCUGAGAUCGCACUGAUGCACUCCAGCCUGGGCAACAAGAGCGAAACUCCAUCUCAAAAAAAAAAAAGGAAAACAAAAAAGAAAAAGUUAGAAUUAAGUGUGUGGAAGUCAGAUUUAAACUCAAUACGAUAACUUUAAAGUGGUUACAGUUUUCUGAAAAUGAAUGAGUUACCCCUUGAGACAAUGAGUUUCCUGUUACUGGAGGUAUUCAAAUAGACUGUUGUUGUGGGAAGUCAGGGACCCCGAACGGAGGGACUGGCUGAAGCCGUGGCAGAAGGACAUAAAUUGUGAAGAUUUCGUGGACAUUUAGUAGUUCCCCAAAUUAAUACUUUUAUAAUUUCUUACUCCUGUCUUUACUGCAAUCUCUGAACAUAAAUUGUGAGGAUUUCAUGGACAUUUAUCACUUUCCUAAUCAAUAUUCUUGUGAUUUCCUAUGCCUGUCUUUACUUUAAUCUCUUAAUCCCGUCAUCGUAAGCUGAGGAUGUAUGUCACCUCAGGACCCUGUGAUGAUUGCAUUAACUGCACAGAUUGUUCGUAAAACAUGUGUGUUUAAACAAUAUGAAAUCUGGGCAACUUGAAAGAAGAACAGGAUAACAGUGAUGUUCAGGGAACAAGGGAGAUAACCAUUAGGUCUGGCUGCCUGAGAGCCGGGCGGAACAGAGCCAUAUUUCUCUUCUUUCAAAAGCAAAUAGGAGAAAUAUCGCUGAAUUGUUUUUCUCAGCAAGCAACGGCCCUGAGAAAGAGAAUGCAUUCUCAGGGGUAGGUCUCUAAAAUGGCCGCUCUGGGAAUGUCUGUCUUUACGAUUGCAGAUAAGGGAUGAAAUAAGCCCCGGUCUCCCGUAGCACUUCCAGGCCUAUUAGGAUGAUGAAAUUCCCGCCUAAUAAAUUUUGGUCAGACUGGUUGUCUGCUCUCAAACCCUGUCUCCUGAUAAGAUUUAUCAAUGACAACGCGUGCCCAGUGGUACAUGAAACUUCAUUAGCAUUUUUAAUUUCACCCUGGUCCUGUGAUCUCCCCCUGCCUCCAUUCGCCUUGUGAUAUUUUAUUGCCUUGUGAAGCAUGCGAUCGCUGUGACCCACACCCUAUCCAUAUACUCCCUCCCCUUUGAAAAUCACUAAUAAAAACUUGCUGAUUUUGUGGCUUGGGGGGCAUCACGGAACCUGCCGACAUGUGAUGUCUCCCCUGGACACCCAGCUUUAAAAUUUCUCUCUUUUGUACUCUUUCCCUUUAUUUCUCAGACCAGCUGACACUUAAGGAAAUAGAAAAGAACCUAUGUUGAAUUAUUGGGGGUGAUUCUGCCGAUAGAAUGUAGACAACAAAUGACAAAGAAUGUGCUCUCAAAGCACUUUGUUUGUGUCUUGAACUUUAUACUCACAUUAUCAUCAUUUGCAGGCCAGUCUCCCUAUAUAGAUGUGACCUCUUCCUAGGCUGAAUCUAUCAUAUAUGUUUUUAACUUGGCUUAGGAGGUAGCUAACAAAUGUUGGCUAGGUAAAUGGAUGAUGCAUGGGUGAGGUCGAGAGUUGGAGAGAGUGACCAUCAGAGUCCCUCCAACUCUGGGACUCUCAAUUCUCUGAGCUGGGAUCUGAGCUAGGUGUAGUGAAUUUAAUUGAGAUCCAGAAAGGGGGUGAGGGUGAUGGCGCAUUCUAGGUGGGAACCACAGUGCAGAAAGGCCAAGAGGAGAGCAAAUCUGAGUCAAGGAGCUAUGUUGGGUGAAGAGUGGGAAUUAAGAGUUGGGCAGAGUCUGGGUCUUGAUUCUUGAAGGUCUUUAAUUUCAAGGAUGUUGGACUUCCUCAUUCUGCAGUUGGGAUGCAGAUUGACACUUGACUGAAUUGUGAUCAAAGAAGAGAAAAUUGCCCUGACAAUGAUAUGCAUCAUAGCUGAUUGGCAAUAACUGGAAGUGACUGCCUAAACAUGGGUGUAAAGAGUUAAAAUGCAGAGCUAGACGAUGGCAGCAAGGAUGUAAAGGACGGAACAGAUAGGAAGAUAUGUUGCUAAAAAAUCAGGACUUGUUGGCGAGGUAAAUGAGAAAGGGUGAAAAGGGGGAAGGUAUCAAAGAGGCCCAAAGCUUUGUGCAUGGGUGGCCAUGAGGAUGGACAUGUAUGUCAAACUUUCUUAUUGAGAUGGAAGUAAUAUGGAAAAAUAUUCAAAAUAUCCAGGAUUUUUCCCAAACUGUUUCUAUUAAGUUCAUGGCUGAAGUGGGCUGUUUUGAAUAUGUAUGAGGAUAGAAAGUCAAGAGUAUUGCUGAGCGCAGUGGCUCACACCUGUAAUCCCAGCACUUUGGGAGGCCAAGGCGGGCAGAUCACAAGGUCAGGAGAUCAAGAUCAUCCUGGCUAACACGGUGAAACCCCGUCUCUACUAAAAAUACGAAAAUAUUAACCAGGCGUGGUGGUGGGUGCCUGUAAUCCCAGCUACUCGGGAGGCUGAGGCAGGAGAAUGGCGUGAACCCGGGAGGCAGAGCUUGCAGUGAGCUGAGAUCACGCCACUGCACUCCAGCCUGGGUGACAGAGCGAGACUCUGUCUCAAAAAAAAAAAGUCAAGAGCAUUAGCCUGUGAAGGGCAAACAUUUUUAAGAGGUGAGCUGUUACACUGGCAAAACCUGAUACCGAAUAGUAAUAGUUAUAGUAGCACCUUGUAUGAGCCCAUUAUGAGCCUGCAUGAUAUGAGACACUUUGUAUGUAUCAUCCCAUUUUGUGCAGUUACCCAUGAGCAUGAAGGCAUCAGCUAGUAGUCCACACAGUGUCUGCUUUAGGGCAGCUCCCAAGGGAAAUUCCCACCCAUCUUAGUACUAAGGAUAAUUAUAAGUCUCAGAAGUGAUUGGAUUCUUUUAAAAAUUCUUGGACUCUGAACUGAAUAAAUAAUUCUAUAUCUGUGUGUUUGAAGGGGUGGAGGAGGUAAAAAGAAUUAUUCAAAGUUUUAGAGCCAGAAUUGUGACUCAGUUAUGGAAUGUGUGCAAUAUAUUGUUUUUUAAACCUAUUUCCUGUUUCUGUUUCAUGUCCCCACCCUUGUUUUUCUGCCUCUCUUCUCACUUCUCAUUUAACUUACGCUGUCUUUUAUUUUAUAUAUCCCUAAAAGUAGUCAUAAAUUCAUUCUGGAAUAAAGGAGAGUAAUAGAAAUGUAUUUUUUAUUUAUAUUAGUCCUUGCUUUAUAGAUGAGGAACAGGGGCUUAAUUUAUCUAACUUGCCCAAGAUUACAGCGGGUGUAUUAUCUAUUGCUGGAUAACAAAUCACCACCAAAAUUAGCUUGAAACAACAAAUAUUUCUGAUCUCACUCUGUUUCUGAGGGUCAAGAAUCUGGGAGCAGCUUCCCUGGGUGGUUCUAGCUCAGGGUCUCAUGAGUUUGCAGUCAAGCCAUCAGCCAGGGCUGCAGAGUCACCUGAAGGCUUGGCUGAGGCUGAAGAAUAUGCUUCCAGCUCACUCACAUGGCUGAACAUUUUCAUUUCUUGCCACAUGGGCCUUUCUAUAGGGCUGCUCACAACAUGGCAGCUGGCUUUCCCCAGAGUGAGUAAUCAGAGAGACAGACAAUGAGAGAGAGAGACAAAGACGGAAGCUACAGCAUCUUUUACAACAAUCUUGGAAGUGACAUACAAUUACUUCUGUACCCUGGUAAAAUUUGAGAAAGCAUUCCACAGGGGUAUGAAUUCCAGCAGAAAUCACUGGAGGCCAUCUUGGAGGCUGCCAACCACAGUGAGUACAUGACAUAGCGGAACCUACAUGAUGCUGCUUUUGCAGAAGUGUUGGAUUAGAAGAGCCUCAAGUUUGGUUCUCAGAGCUGUUCCCAUUCCUUUCAUCUUGAAAAGUAGGGAAAUAAGCACCAGCAAGUGCUGAUGUUCUGGGUUUCUAGUUUUGUUCCUCUGACCCUGGUUACAAUUGCCAGUGCUGCCACAGUUUCAUCCAUAAAGUUUUGUGUAGCCUCACAUCUCCGUUUAAUCACUACUAAAAGUAAGUCCAAAUUUGAACCUCCAGUCAACACUAAACAACUGAAUGUUUGGAUACCACUAAGGAGUUAAAAUAAUAGCUAAUGGACCAGGUACAGUGGUUCAUGCCUGUAAUCCCAGCACUUUGGGGGGCCAAGGUAGGGAGAUGCCUUGAGUCCAGGAGUCUGAAACUUCAAUGAGCUAUGAUCAUACCACUGUACUCCAGCCUGGGUGACAGAGCAAGACUCUAUCUCUUAAAAAAAAUAAAAAAUAAAAAAUAACAUAACACUAUGUAUGCUUACAUUCUCUGAAUUUAGUAGUGUAUGAAAUGAUUGAUUAUAAUUUUAUUCCUUGUACUUUUUAUGUUCAUGGGAAAUGUAUGCAUAUAGAGGAUACAAGUUUUUGGUGAUUCCACCCCCCAUGAGGGGAAAUUGUCAAUGUAAUGAGAAAAUCCAUAAGGAUUUUUUACUGCAUUGCUGAACUGUAGCCAGAUUUUGUCAGGGAAAUAAGAACUUAUUGUUUUCCUAGUUUCAGGGAACUGCUGGCUCAGUGUUCAGUUUUCAUUCCACAAAUCCAUGACUCACGAAUAAAUGACCUGGAUAAAUGAACACUGAGGAUCUCAGUUGCAGCUGGCAAUUACCCUACCUUUUGAUGGCACUUAUUCUAUUCUGCAUCUGGAAAUUCCAUUUCCACUUGAAGUAUGUAUAAAUGGAUGUCACCCUUAAGGUUUAAACACAACCCCUAUUACUUAGCCAAGACUGUUCUGAACAAUGGUGUUUACUAAUUAGCUCAAUUUCAAUUUCAGUUUCAGUUCUUGAGCCAUUACUAUGUGCCUGUGGUAUUUUAAUGUUCUUAUAACUUUCUUUACAUCUUGGGGCUUCCCUUCAGGGCCUGUUGUGGUAUGCCAGUUUGCAAAAAAGGUGAUCAGUUUUGUCUAGGGAGAGAAACUUCUCUUUACAUUUGACUUAGUUAUAUGCAAACUAAUUGGAUAAACACUCUUUGAAUGUUUGUGUUCUAGGGUUUUUGCUGUGUUCUGCAAAUGGAGAAAAGCGUAAGACAUAGUCUUUAUGCCUUUAAAAAUUUGGCCGGGCAUGGUGCCUCACGCUUAUAAUCCCAGCACUUUGGGAGGCCAAGGUAGGCGGAUCACUUGAGGACAGGAGUUCAAGACCAGCCUGGCCAACAUGAUGAAACCCUGUCUCUACUAAAAAUACAAAACAAUUAGCCAGGCAUGGUGGUGGGUGCGUAUAAUCCCAGCUACUCAGGAGGCUGAGGGAGGAGAAUCGCUCUAACCAAGGAGACGGAAGGUGCAGUGAGCCAAGAUCAUGCCAUUGCAAUCCAGCCUGGGUAACAAGAGUGAAACUCUGUCUCAAAAAAAAAAAAGCAGGCUUUUUUUUUUUUUUUAUUUCUUGCAAAUUAAUUUCCCCUUAACUCAGAUGUGGUGAAGCCACUGACAAGCAAAUUGCAGGAACUCCUUUAUAUAGGAGUGUGUCUCUUCCAACUCCAGCUUAAAUGUAAUCGUUUAUAACACGGCUCCUAACUUUUUGGAUUUCAAAGACCCGCCUUGGCCUCCCAAAGUGCUGGGAUUACAGGCGUGAGCCACCACACCUAGCCUAUGCUUGCUUUUUAAAACUGGUUUUCGAUGCUUUUCUUGUAUGUGUCUGGGGGAGUGGGGGCCAAGGUGAGUAGUAGGAAAGAAAACUUGUACCCACAGUGGUAGAGAAUGUGAACUGUAGUUGUGGAAAGCAGCUGUUGCCUACAUGGAAAUGAAACUGGUUUGGGAAGGAUUCCCUCCGCAUAAAAUCUUAAACAGUUUAGGUAAAAUUAGGCCUGAUGAAUGUAAACCUUCUACUUAUUUCUAGGUGUUAGGCUAAAAAAUAAAAAGGACCUUUGUAUAUAUGGGUCUUUUUUCCCCUCUGAUAUUUUGCAAGGGAAGGAGAGAAGGGACAAGCCAUUGGAUUCGUGUGUCUAAGCAAGUCAGCAGUAAUAGAAUAUUUAACUUGGCCAUGAUGAAGGCUGACUGCCCAGUGUUCUUCAUUCAAUGCACCUACAAUAGCAGAGCUUUUCAUGGAUUUGCACAUAAAUGCCUCUCUGGAAUUGAACUAUAUCCAUACUUUUCUGGAAUGUGUCAUCUUUGAAGUGCGAUUCAAGGAGAACCACAAAGAUGAUAAAAGGACUAAAUAAUCAAAAAAUUCUUAUGAAGAGUAUAGGGAUUCCUCUAUCUGAACUCUGAGGCAGUAAUCUAACAGGAGUUUAUCUGUCCUGGGUUUCUCCCAACAUAAGCAUUUUAAGAAAUGAUCAAAGAUUUCCUUGAAAACUUGCCAGACAACAAUAGUAAAUAACAGGCUUCUGUCUCUACCAUGCGCUUGGACACAUUUCUCAUGUGUGUGGUGAAGCAAGGGCUCUGAGGUCAGACCCGCUCCAUCAAAUACUUGCUCCACCCCUUGCUACUGUCAAGUCACAGCCUUGCUAAGCCUCAGUUUCCUGCUCUCUAUAAUGGGAAUAAUGGUUCUUAUUUCACAGGGCUCUUGUAAACAGAAGUAUUAUACAUGCACUAGCACUAGCACAUGAUACUACUUUUUAUAUUUUAAGUGAUAUUAUUGCUAUUUCUUCUGGAAGGAGUGCUUCUCUCCUGACCCCUCUGUCCUCUACUGUUCACUGGCUACCUACCAUCUCUAAGUCUGGAGGGUCCUGAUUCAUAUGCACUGGUUGGUUCUUUCAGGUUCCUUGAAACAAAAGGCAUCUACACAUGAACGAUAAAUAUGCUAAUCGUCAAAAGGCAGAUAAUUUAUUUUGUUUAACUGUCACAUAUUUAAGCAAAUUAAAAUUUGAUAUUGGACUAUUUCUAGACAAAGUCAUGCUGAGAAAUAAUAUGAAGUUUUAAACAAAUUACACAUUCUAUCAACGAUGCUCAGGGUGCCCUCUCCUCAUGACCUUUAGCAACUCAGCAAUGAAAAUAUUGGAAGGAGGUGAGCUCACCAGUGAGGAUGGGUGAGUCCUUCCUGGUUCCAGCUUUGCAAAGAAAAGAAGAUACAUGGCCUCUAGGAGAGCAAUCCUAACCUGAUCUGGCACACAGGGCUGUGCCUUGAAGCCUGUCUUGCCUGAAAUGACUAGCUGAGCUGUUGGAGGUUGAGAGAGAGAAACUGAAAAGGGCUCCUUUAUUCCCCUUUACACACUCCCCAGAAACAAAUUUUGUAAUUAAGUUAAAAGGGAGUGGAGGAGACAGAAGGUUACAUCUCUUGCUUAGAAAGUCUAGGGAAAGGUUGAGUUGACCUAACUUUGAAGAGCACUACUUUUAGUCACUAAUUCAUCCAGCCAAUAAUUAUUUGACACCCAAUGUGUGCCAGACAGUGUUCUUGACACUGGAGAUAAAACAGGACAAAGAUCCCGUUCUCAUGGAACUUGCAACCUAGUGGGGAAAAUGAUACAAAAAGAAUUCCACAGGAAUCCCACAGCAGAUGCAGCCCCACAGUGGCAUAGGAAUGCUCUGAGGGUGGGCUUGGUGCGUUUUCGACUCUGAGCACUGUGUUUGAGACUCACUCAGAAACAGGUGUGUGUUUUUAAUGUUGUUACACUGAUUACCAAAGCAGUAACUUCCAUUUAAAGCAGAGAGUAUUUUCGACCUCUCAAAAAUGAUUGACAUGGCUUUGGAGAUCUAUUUUUGUUCUGCAUUCUCAAGUUCACAUCCUUUGUGGUAGCCAGCAAGGAAAAGAUCACCCUGCUGCUAGUGUCACAGAAUAAGCUCUAUGUUAUCCGUGAUACUUCGGCCUUGACAUGCUGAGAAGCAAAACUUUGAUUUACAUAAUGUCAUUUUAUGGUUUAAGCCUUGGGGUUACCUAUCUAACAUUUUGCUCUUUGAUGUACUUACCUUUUUAUACACAUAACUUACCUUUAAAGAUACACUUUACCUUUUAUGCCGUCUUAAGCUUCCACACAAAUUUUAAUAGGGGUCAGAAAGCUUAGAUGAGGCCAAAACCUGGAUAAUAUUAUACAUGUACUGAUAAAGACAUGAGAAUGACCUUCAGAUGUCUGUAGGCUGGUGGUUUAUAAAAGAGGAAAGUUAGUUUUAACCUUAACCCAACCUCCACCCCUGGUAAAACACACACACACACACACACGGUAAAAGGACAUGUUAGGGGUUGCGUUUCAGCUAUGGAGAGAUAUCUAAUAUCAAGUCAAUAUUGUUUUUAACCCUGGAUGUACUGUAUUAAAUGAGUAAGAACAAGUCUUCUCUCAAAUAUCCCACACAGAUUAUUGAUUAAUUACAACAAGGAAAAAGAUACUUUUACAAUGGGAAUAUCUGACAGGUCCCACCAUAACCAAUGAAUCCAACAUCGUUAAUAAGGGUGAUGAUUGACUGACACCCUGUUCUUCCCAGUGAGAUGCAAUCGCCUAGGUAAUCAGCAUCACCUAGGUAAAAUUCUUACCAAAGAAUAUCUAAUCUGAAUCUAAUUAUGAGGAAACAAGCAGACAAAUUCAGAUUGUGGGACAUCACGUAGGGCAAAUGUCUUGGACCCUUCAAAAAUGUCAAUAUUGUAAAAGACAAAAAGAAUAGAUAAAUAAACAUAAGGUGGGAGAAUGCUCCACAUUAAAAGAGACUAAAGAGGCAUGAUGGCUGGGUGGUUUGGGUGGCGGGUCUAAAAAUGAAGGAAAGGAAAGCAGAGGGGAAGAAAUGGAAGAAAGGAAGAAAAUAUCUACAAAGGAUAUUUAGGGGACAAUUGGAGAAAUGUGAAUAUGGUCAUUUUAUUAGAUAAUGAUUUUGAAUUGGUAUUAAAUUUUCUGAAUCUGAUUGUUAUGAGAGUGUCUUUGUCCUUAGGAGAUGCAUGCUGAAAUAUUUUAGAUAUGAAAUGUCAUGAGAUCUGCAACUUUCAAAUGGUUCCAGAAAAAAGUAAAUACACAUGGGAGAAAGUAAAAGGGAAACAGACGUGGCACAAUGUGAAUCAGUGAAUCAGGGUGAAGGGAGUGUGUUCAUUGACUUAUUCUCUCAAUUUAUCUUAGGUUUUAAAUUUUUCCAAAUAAAAAGUUGUAUGCAGCAGGGGUCAGAAGACAAGAAAAGUCUAUUUGAAGGAAAUUAUUUUAGAAAUCCAGAACAAAAAUAAAAGAUGGAGAAAACUUACACAGACAACACAGACAACUGAUGCAUGAAGCCUCAGAGGAAGAAAGCCCUGGACAAAGGACAGAGCUCUGGAAUGGGGAUGGCAGGGCCUACACGCGCCCGUCUCCUCUGUCAUCACAGGCUGUGUGAUCGUGGACAUUUGCCUAAGCUCUCUGUCUUCAUUUCUUAGGGCUGCCAUCACCAAAACAACAGGCUGGAAUACCAGUGGCAUCAGGACUGACUGGUGGAGGGCAAGUCAGAGAUCCUGUAAGCAGCGUAUAACUGGCAGAAAAAGAUGCUAAGGAACACAGAGCGCUACAGACAUUAUGCUGACACCCAGGGCUAGACCCACAAGGAGUUGUCUGGGGACAUCAGGUAUGGCAGAAAGACCCAAGGGGAAUCCAGGCAUGGUGGCUUAUACCUGUAAUCCCAGCAGUUUGGGAGGCUGAGACUGAAGGAUCACUUGAGCCCAGGAGUUCAAGACUAGCCUGGGCAAUAUGGUAAGACCCCAUCCCUACAAAAAAUUUUUAAAAAUUUAGCCGGGCAUGUUGGCACACACCUGUAGUCCCAACUACUCGGGAGGCUGAGAUGGGAGGAUUGCUUGAGUGCUGGAAAGUGAGGCUGCGGUGAGCCAUGUUUGCACCACUACACUCCAGCCUGGGGAACAGAGAGACACUCUGUCUCAAGGAAAGAAAGAAAAAAGAAAGACUCAAGGCCCAUGGAGGUCAUAUCAGAGAGGGAGCAGACUGGCUGUCUAUCAUACAACUUGGUUUUAACUCAAUGAAAGGAAGAGCUCUCUCACCCUCAGAGCUUGCAGAAAACCAAAUGUAGAUCCCUGUAAAAAGUGAUAUCCUAAGGGAGCCAGGACGCGAUGAUCCACUGGGGUACACGAGAAGCAAAUAGGUCUUUUUGUCCCUUACACACUUGAGGUGUCCCAAGGGAAGAGCAGGGGUUCCACAGUGUGGAGGGUUGACAAAGACUGCUGCACUCCUUGGCUGGCUUUCAGAGUAAUUGUGAUGUGUGGCAGGCUUAGUGGACCCAGUGAGGAUAUUGUCUUGAUUUAACUAAAGUAGUUCCAACAAAAUGGCUAAACGUCUAAAAACUGAUGACUGCAAAACAUCUAAGCACAAGACAGCAGCAAGGAAAAGGCAGAGCCGGCAUGUCUCCAGCACUGAGAAUUAGCUCUUUGUCAGCCACAUUAUGAGAUAAAUUCAAAUCUGCUUAGAAGUUGGCUGAACACAGUUGAAGUGAACAGGAAACUAUUUGAACUAUGAAUUUACAUCUGCUAUCAUUAGCAAUAAAUCAAGCUGGAAGGGAAUAUUAUGUCUUGAGAUAUUAGCCCAUCAUACUAUGAGGCCAUCAUGAUUAAGCAUUUAGAACAUUAUUAAUAAUAGUA
rnacentral:lncRNA from 10 species